AGGAAUGAAAACUGGAGACUUUAGUGUUUUAUUGGGAGGGAUGAGAAGGUUUUCAGUUGAGCUGAGCAGGUGUGGAGGUUUCAGCAGGUGGGACUGCAGCAGGAUCCAGCCGCUGGGAUCAGACCAGCCCGGCGGGCGGCGCUUUCUGCUACCUGGCUGGGAUCCUGGAUCCUUCCCCCCCACACACCGACUUUCAGAAGUGCUCCGGACUUCCUGGUACGGGACCAUGGAUCCUCACCGCCAACACUCCAGGAAUGAGAAGGGAUUUUACCCGCAGGCGAUGUGAAGCAAGCGGAGCCUUCGAGUUGGAAGCAAGGUCAUGAGUUCCUCUCAGAAGGACCCAGUGGAGAUCAGCCUCACCUGCCCCACCCAGGCCUCGUCCUGCCCCCCGCCCCCGCGCUCCCACCAUGACUUCUGAUCAGGAUGCGGCGCUGAAACUGGAUCAGGAACGGGCCGAAAUCGUCGCCAAAUAUGACA